AUUCACAAUGUCAUUGACAGCCGUAACGUGGUGAGAUUUGGGGGGGUGGGAGGCUCUCUAUUCACGACCCCCCUCCAUUUGCAGAGACUUUAUACAUUGUCAUCUAGCAGGGUGUGAGACUAUGUGACCGGUGAUUCCACUCAUGCCCGAUAGAUGGCAGUGUUCGCUGUGCAUAUUCUCAAUCCUGGCUAAGCACACACAUCAAUACACUUUCACACACACACACACACAUACACACAGCUUCUGGGUGAGAGAGCAGCACAGCAGGGAAUGGCUACCUCUUCUUUUUUUUUUUUUUUCUUUUUUUUACCAAAGGCUGUCUGCUCUACGGCCACCUCCUAAACUGGACCCUCACUGCUCCUUUCACAACCCACAGUGGGCGCCUAGGAAGUCAUGUCAUGGAGAAAAAAAGACGCCUGAUAUUAACCUCUUAAUGAUAGAUGAUGUGCCAGGACUGGCAUGAUAUCAUAGGAUUUGCCUAACCGCUUUGCCCUGAAGGGGUUAACCACGCUCACACUCCCUGCGAACCAGGGCAGCUUGCCUGUGGAUCAGCACAGAGGGGGUUGGAGUGUUUGCGCGUUGUGCAGUGUUCCAUUUGGUUCCUUAGAAUGGGGCAGAAUACAGGCAGUCUCUCGCUGUCCCUCUGCUUCUCCUGGGCAGAUAGGAUGAAUCACAGACUGCUUGCCAAAUACCUCUCUGUGGCUUUUGCUUUGAAUAGGGGGGUAGCUAGGAGACAGCAAGCAGUCAGAGAAGACGGAAUUUUCAACAUGUAAAAUAUUCUUAACGGGGCUAUUGAGAGAGUGCAAUAAGGCGUGAGGGGGAACUAAUCUUUCCAUUUAAAUGUUUGUGGCAAUUUCAUCUAAAUGAAUUUUAAUGCUAAACGAGGGAUAAUUCCCUAUUUGUAGCCCGUUUACAUUUCUUUCCUGUGAUUCUGAUUUCUUGCAUUGAACAAUAACAAUACUUUUAAUAUUUAAUUCAUUUUAAAUACAUUAAUAGCUGAUUAACAAUUCCUCCAUAGAGAUUGG